rnacentral:rRNA from 1 species
GACGUAGGGCGCGAGCGUUGUCCGGAUUUAUUGGGCGUAAAGAGCUCGUAGGCGGCUUGUCGCGUCGACUGUGAAAACCCGAGGCUCAACUUCGGGCUUGCAGUCGAUACGGGCAGGCUAGAGUUCGGUAGGGGAGACUGGAAUUCCUGGUGUAGCGGUGAAAUGCGCAGAUAUCAGGAGGAACACCGAUGGCGAAGGCAGGUCUCUGGGCCGCAACUGACGCUGAGGAGCGAAAGCAUGGGGAGCGAACAGG